rnacentral:rRNA from 1 species
ACAGGGAUUGCCCUAGUAACGGCGAGUGAAGCGGCAACAGCUCAAAUUUGAAAUCUGGCUCUUUUAGAGUCCGAGUUGUAAUUUGCAGAGGGCGCUUUGGCUUUGGCAGCGGUCCAAGUUCCUUGGAACAGGACGUCACAGAGGGUGAGAAUCCCGUACGUGGUCGCUGGCUAUUGCCGUGUAAAGCCCCUUCGACGAGUCGAGUUGUUUGGGAAUGCAGCUCUAAAUGGGAGGUACAUUUCUUCUAAAGCUAAAUAUUGGCCAGAGACCGAUAGCGCACAAGUAGAGUGAUCGAAAGAUGAAAAGCACUUUGGAAAGAGAGUCAAACAGCACGUGAAAUUGUUGAAAGGGAAGCGCUUGCAGCCAGACUUGCUUGCAGUUGCUCAUCCAGGCUUUUGCCCGGUGCACUCUUCUGUAGGCAGGCCAGCAUCAGUUUGGGCGGUAGGAUAAAGGUCUCUGUCACGUACCUCUCUUCGGGGAGGCCUUAUAGGGGAGACGAAAUACCACCAGCCUGGACUGAGGUCCGCGCAUCUGCUAGGAUGCUGGCGUAAUGGCUGUAAGCGGCCCGUCUUGAAACACGGACCAAGGAGUCUAACAUCUAUGCGAGUGUUUGGGUGUCAAGCCCGAGCGCGUAAUGAAAGUGAACGGAGGUGGGAACCCGCAAGGGUGCACCAUCGACCGAUCCUGAUGUCUUCGGAAGGAUUUGAGUAAGAGCAUGGCUGUUGGGACCCGAAAGAUGGUGAACUAUGCUUGAAUAGGGUGAAGCCAGAGGAAACUCUGGUGGAGGCUCGCAGCGGUUCUGACGUGCAAAUCGAUCGUCAAAUUUGGGCAUAGGGGCGAAAGACUAAU